rnacentral:rRNA from 1 species
CGGCUCAGAUUGAACGCUGGCGGGGAUGCUUUACACAUGCAAGUCGAACGGCAGCACGAUUUCGGUCUGGUGGCGAGUGGCGAACGGUGAGUAAUGUAUCGGAACGUGCCUAGUAGCGGGGAUAACUACGCGAAAGCGUAGCCAAUACCGCAUACGGUCUCAAAAAGCGGGACCUUCUGGCCUCGUACCUGUUAGAGCGGCCGAUAUCGGAUUAGCUAGUUGGUGGGGUAACGGCUCAUCAAGGCGACGAUCCGUAGCUGGUUUGAGACGACCAGCCACACUGGGAUCAGAGGACAUGGCCUGGACUCCUACGGGAGGCAGCAGUGGGGAAUUUUGGAUAUCAAACCCUGAUCCAGCCAUCCUGCAGUGUGCGAUGAAGGCCUUCGGGUUGUAAAGCACUUUUGGCAGGAAGAAACGGCACGGGAUAAUACCCUGCAAUUGACGGUACCUGCAGAAUGCUGCACUGGCUAACUACGUGCCAGCAGCCGCGUAAUACGUAGGGUGCAAGCGUUAAUCGGAAUUACUGGGCGUAAGCGUGCGCAGGCGGUUCGAAAGAAAGAUGUGAAAUCCCAGAGCUGAAUUGGAACUGCAUUUUUAAUCACUGAGCGAGUGUGUCAGAGGGAGGUGGAAUUCCGCGUGUAGCAGUGAUGCAGAUGCAGGAGAACACCGAUGGCGAAGGUAGCCUCCUCUGGGAUAACACUGACGCUCAUGCACGAAAGCGGGGAGCAAACAGGAUUAGAUACCCGAGUAGUCCACGCCCUAAACGAUGUCAACUAGCCGUUGGGGCCUUCGGCCUUAUAGCGCAGCUAACGCGUGAAGACCGCCCGGGGAGCAUGGUCGCAAGAUUAAAACCCGCAAAGGAAUUGAUACGGGGACUCCGCACAAGCGGUGGAUGAUGUGGAUUAAUUCGAUGCAACGCGAAAAACCUUACCUACCCUGCGGAUAUGUCUGAAUCCCGAAGAGAUUUGGGAGUGCUCGCAAGAGAACUGGAACACAGGUGCUGCCAAUGGCUGCCGUCAGUCGCUGCUGUGUCGUGAUGUUGCUGUCCCAAAUGAGCAACCCUUUGGCUGAGUUGCUACAGCACUUAAUGAGACUGCCGGUGACAACCGAGGAAGGUGGGGAUGACGUCAAGUCCUCAUGGCCCUUAUGGGUAGGGCUUCACACGUCAUACAAUGGUCGACAGAGGGUCGCUAACCCGCGAGGGGGAGCCAAUCCCAGAAACCUGAUCGUAACCGGAUCGCAGUCUGCAACUCGACUGCGUGAAGUCGGAAUCGCUAGUAAUCGCGGAUCAGCAUGUCGCGUGAAUACGUUCCUGGUCUUGUACACACCGCCCGUCACACCAUGGGAGUGGGGUUUUACCAGAAGUAGUUAGCCCAACUGUAAGGAGGGCGAUUACCGCUGGUAUUCAUGACUGGGUGAGAGGUCGUAACGCA